ensembl:misc_RNA Metazoa_SRP Metazoan signal recognition particle RNA
GCCACGCACCGUGUUCUGUGCCUGUAGCUCCAGCUACUCGGGAGGCUGCGGUGGGAGAAUCGCUUGAGCCCAGGAGUUCUGGGCUGUAGUGCGCUAUGCCGAUCGGGUGUCCGCACUAAAGUUCGUCAUCAAUAUGGUGACCUCCCAGGAGCGGGGGACCACCAGGUUGCCUGAGGAGGGGGUGAACCGGCCCAGGUCGGAAACGGAGCAGAUCAAAAUCCCGUGUUGAGCAGUAGUGCGAUCGCGCCUGUGAAUACCCACUGCACUCCAGCCUGGGCAACCCGGUCUCAAAACAA